AAGUGCAAUUAUACCAACACUAAUAUACUAGUUUUCAUUAAAAUUCUGCAGCUAAGUAUAUUUGGAUGAAAGUAGUACUAAGUUGAGUGAUCAUUUGGAAAAUCCAUAUUCCACAUA
rnacentral:rRNA from 1 species